GAUGAACGCUGGCGGCGUGCCUAAUACAUGCAAGUCGAGCGAACAGAUGAGGAGCUUGCUCCUCUGACGUUAGCGGCGGACGGGUGAGUAACACGUGGAUAACCUACCUAUAAGACUGGGAUAACUUCGGGAAACCGGAGCUAAUACCGGAUAAUAUAUUGAACCGCAUGGUUCAAUAGUGAAAGACGGUUUUGCUGUCACUUAUAGAUGGAUCCGCGCCGCAUUAGCUAGUUGGUAAGGUAACGGCUUACCAAGGCAACGAUGCGUAGCCGACCUGAGAGGGUGAUCGGCCACACUGGAACUGAGACACGGUCCAGACUCCUACGGGAGGCAGCAGUAGGGAAUCUUCCGCAAUGGGCGAAAGCCUGAGGAGCAACGCCGCGUGAGUGAUGAAGGUCUUCGGAUCGUAAAACUCUGUUAUUAGGGAAGAACAAAUGUGUAAGUAACUAUGCACGUCUUGACGGUACCUAAUCAGAAAGCCACGGCUAACUACGUG
rnacentral:rRNA from 1 species